rfam:Dorea sp. CAG:105 genomic scaffold, scf149
AAGGAAGCGGCGCAAUGGGUAGCGCAUAUGGCUGAUAACCAUAUUGUUGCGGGUUCGAGUUCUGUCUUCAUAA